UCCACCUCUCUGGGGCUGUUAAAGCGUGUUCUCCGUCACAUCUAAAGAGCUUCUUAUCCAGUACCCCGUUGUCAUCAAGCGCGACGGUUCGAUCCAUCCUGGGAGCCUUUGUGAGGGUGGGCGACCUGAAUAGAGUGCCUGUCAUAGCUCUGUCUGCCCACGCCCAGAGUGUUUGCAUACAGUGGAAGAUUAAGAAAUCCUUGCAGAUUAAUCACCACACCUGGCCCCAAACCCCCACCCUCUCUGAGCCUCACCCUCACCUCCUGAGGCUACAAGGACUGAAGGAGAAAUCAGAAAUGUGCCUUAAGAUGAACAGCAGAUGGAACUGGACAGGAGGUGGGGUCAGGUCCAACAGAGAACCAAGGGUUGCUUUGCCUUAAUUUUCAGGGUUUUUUUCAUAGGCUGCUGGGGCACUAGGUUGAGGGACCCAAGGAGCUUCGCAC
rnacentral:lncRNA from 1 species